UAAUAAAGAGGAAGAGAGGCUGACAGAAGAGAGUGAGCGCACGCAGGCAAUUGUCUGAGAAAAUACCUUUGCGGGUGCGUGCUCACUUAUCUUUCUGUCAGCUCAAAACCCUUCACUUGUCUCUCGUCCUUACAACUCAGACUACAGAAAAUUUUUCUUCCGCUUAUAUGUCUGCACGUCCACUUCUCUCUCCACAUUUAUCUGUAGAACGCUUGAGUUCUAUAAAAGAGAAGUUAAAAUUGACUUAUGUUCUUUGUAUUGUUUGGAUUUCUUAUAUUAUAAUAAUAAGAAUAAUAUGUGAUAGAGCUUGGAAUUGGAAAGCGUGACUUUUCAUGGUCCUCUAUUAGUCUUUGACGAGGACGAACUACUUCAAGCUUUGCUACUUUAUGUUUUUGCUUCCUCUUUGUGAUCUGGAUUUGGUUGACAUCAAAACUUUUGUGUCUUUGACUCGAUAAUUUUUUUUCCUAAAAUUAGAAAAAUGGUUUGUUUUCACUUCUGGGAAAAUAUGCUCGACUUUGUAGCCAUGAAUGAAGUUUCCCAAGAAGCCAAUCUUCUUGUAAAGGAGCAAAUUAGGUCUGUCUUUGUUUCCACUUUAUUUAAGUGUAUAAUUGUUUUCAGCACCAUUUGUUGUUUGGUUCUGGGGAGCAACAACAAACAACUUCUAUUUCCGGAAGCUUAAUCAUCAGGUUGGCAUCAUUCUUUUCAUGUUCUGAUGCCAUAUAGUGGUUUAUUCAAUAAUAUGAGGAAGUCGGUCUCAUAGUAAACAAAAUUCAGCUAAUGAGGUUGAGUUUUUUGGUGAUAUUUUUCUUGCACACCAGUUAACUAGUCUUCGUUUCUGAUAUAAUAAGUGAUCAGCUUAAUAAAAAAGUCUUGAUGAAGUUCUAUAGUGUUCUUGUGGCUUAUUGUCCUCAGAACUUUUUUUUUUAUAUGAUUUGUAGUCCUUAUUUGCUCAAAUUUGAUUGAGCAUGGAUAACCCUUAUGGUUGUUGAAAUGUAUAUCAUUGUCAACUUGAAGUGGAUGACGGUGGAA